UAGGGAAUCUUCCACAAUGGGCGCAAGCCUGAUGGAGCAACGCCGCGUGAGUGAAGAAGGUCUUCGGAUCGUAGAACUCUGUUGUUAGAGAAGAACAUGCAGGAGAGUAACUGUUCUUGUAUUGACGGUAUCUAACCAGAAAGCCACGGCUAACUACGGUGCCAG
rnacentral:rRNA from 1 species